UUCACUCAUCUUGCUGUGCUGUGCUGUGAGUAUAACACAUUGUUUGUUUGCAGCAAAGGUAAGCCUUUUUUUUUGAUGUUUUCUGACAGGUUACAGAAAAGUUUGAACUAGUAUUGACCUGGUCAUUGUUCCAUGAAGUUUGCCUUUCCCCUGCAUGUAAAUGGCCUCUGAGCAUGUGAUGACUGGAAAAUCUCACUGAAGAAUGGAUCUACUGUAAAUGCAACGAAUUAUUUACUGAAACAUUAAGGCAGAGAGUAUAUACAGAUGUGUUUGCUGUGGGAUUCAGAUGCUGUUUAAUCUCUGGCUCUGUGUUAAAGGACUUGGAAGGAGUGAAAUCCCUGCCAGUAGGAGUACUAUAAUUCAGCUGAUUAACAUAACAUAACCUUGAUGCUAAUAUAAUUUCUAAAAUGAUUUCUAUUUUGAGCUCUUCUGAAAGCUCGAGGUUAAUUUAGAAACCUUUAAAAAGCAUCUGAAUAAAACAGAAUGAGAAUUUGCAGUCAUGAGAUUUCAUUUCUGUUUUUUAAUUGUUUAUAAUGUACUUUCAGUUUCAAAUGAUCUCUUUGUUUAGGUAACAAUGAAACUCUGCAUCCAACAAAGCAAUGGUGUUCUUCUGUAAGAUCAUAAGUCCAACAUAAAACAAACAAAGGUGGGUGAUCCACUUGGGAAUUCCAUUCUAUAAAAUGGGAAAUAGAAACUGUAAUUAUAUGUGGCCCACUUAGUACUCAAGGACUUUUCAGGGUAGCAUGAGCGUGGUUGAGACAUACACUUCUUGUUUUGGUUUUUCAGGCGGAGCACUGACAAAUUUAGAUGUGCAGCAGUAAAAAAUGUUGAAAAAACAGCCCAGAAAUACAUCUUUGCAGAGAAGUCACUCUUUAAGACUGUUUGCCCAGCCCUGUUAGUCGCUUCUGCAUGGAUUCUCUAGAAAGAAGGGAUGCAGCAGAGAGUGGGAAGUAAGGAAACAGGCCAGGACUGAAGAGUCACGUUUUUCACACAAAGAAUUAAAAUUUAAAGCCACAGAUUUGAGAGGAAAAGCUCUACAAGGGUGGAAAUUCCCUAAAUAGUCCGAAACGGAGGCUGUUUUGAUUAUGUUCUUGUAGUCAUUCAUCAAAUCAUUUUUCACUUUUUUUGUGUUCCCUUCAAAUUACUUAGUAGGCUAUCUCAUACUUAUUGGUGUCUGUAUUGCUGUUAUUUUAUCAUAAGUAUGUUUCUGAAUGUGAAUUCACUUUAUUUGUUCUUAAAGUGUGCUAUCUAAUACCCACUAAAUUAGGAGGAAUAUAUCAAAAAUCUUUUUCAAAAUGUGAAUUUUGUUUGAGACAUUUUACAGACAUGACAUGAAAAUUUUCCCAUUGUGCAGUUUUAAUUCUUACAAUAAAUCAGAGCUGGAGGUUAUUAUUGUGUGCAGCUGGUGAAAAGGGUUGCAUCACUAUUUACUCUGCUGUGGUCACAAGGCUUGAGUGAACACGAGUUUAAGCACGGCUCUUUGUGUUUUCCUUGCAGCCCAGCUGUGUGUCAGUCUCACUCCCAAACCAGAUCUAUUUUUUUAUCCAAAUACUGACAUGUAGCCCAGUGGAUGGGUUACUUGGGAAUUAGGGAGGAAAUUACACUCCUUAGAAUGCAUUCUUAUUUGGAUAAAAACAAUUUGAAAAUAACACUUGAUAUAUUAAGAAAGAAAAAACUGAUGCCGGAUUGAAGACCCUUCUGCUAAACAUUGUCAGAGUGCAUCUGUUGAUCAUUUCAGAAUGGGUUAAUAGUCAUUUCAACUUUAUAAAAUUUAAAUAUUCAAGCACAGAAACACUACAGUUGUACAGAUGAGAAUACAUCAAUUUUGUAAUUCUAGAUUUCUGAUCAGUUGAACAAUGUCCUGCUGUCAGCUGUUACAUUUCUGUUUGCCAUUAUUCUCAGUUUCAGUGUGAGAGCAAUUUAAAUUAUUUGUAAAUAGCAGCAUUGCUUAGUGAUUUUACAAGUUUUCUUCUGUUGCUCUAUGCAUAUCAAAUACAAAAUAAAUUAAAUUAGCUAUAGUAAGAUGGAAAAGUAAAAGCUGUAAAACAGUUUACCUAAAAAAGUGAAAAAAGACAGCUGAUGAAGCUGAGUAAAAUUAGUCACAAAAUCAGUAGUUUCUACAGAAGUUGUGUUGCUGUUAUUGAAAAUAAAGUAGGUUUCUUAAGACAAAAUUUAUUUUCUUUGUCUCUGUUAAUUGUUUUAAAUUUGCAAUCUACUGAGUACUAAGUUCAUGAACUCUCGUUUUUUGCUCAUGUGCUUUUUUUUUCCCAAGUCUCAAUGUCAGGGAGAGUUUAAGGUGACUAAGCAUUUGCUCGGCCAUGACCCUACUUUGUGAAGCAACAUGUUCAAAAAAGGAGUGCAUAAAACUGAUGAAAUCAGAAAUUUGUUAAGUGAAAUCCUAAUGUGGCUCACGUGGUCAAUGAACUUGUGGCAAAACCUUGAUAAAUGCUGCAUUCACAGCUUAAAAAUCUCACUUCCACAAAGUUUCAAUAACUUUCUUUUUGUAUAUGUCCUGCAUCACUUCCUGAAUGUUUUCAGAGGCCAAUGUAACUAAAAGCUGUCAUGGAAGAACUACGACAAAUUGAUCUGACAUACAUCACAGAGUGCAUCAUCAGCAUCAUCUGCCCUUCUACAUGUCCAGAGGAUCUCUACCUGCAGAAUCUGAAGAAGAUUAUCCCUAUGCUAGAGUCUAAGCAUGGGCACAACUAUAUGCUCAUUAACCUUUCCCAGAAGCAUGACAUUCUUACAAAAAUGACCCACAAGAUUUUCAACACAGAUUGGCUGGAUCUCUUAGCUCCCAGCCUGGAUCAAAUCUUUAAUGUGUGCACAGCAAUGGAGAACUGGCUCCAAGGUUAUCCAAAACGCGUCCUGGUGUUACACUGCAGGGGAGAUAUGGGAAGGCUUGGAGUUCUCUUGGCAUCAUACAUCCACUUCAGCAAUAUGUCUGCCAGUGCAGACCUCUCUCUGGACCACUUUGCCAUGAGGAAAUUCUACAACGACAAGCUAUCGGCUCUGAUGAUCCCCUCACAGAAACGGUAUGUUUGGAUGGUGGGCAGCAUGUUAAAAGGAGGAUUGAGGAUGAACCCAUCUCCGUCUUUUCUGCUCUGUGUAGUUCUUUAUGGUCUUCCCAAAACAAGACCAGAUGAAGGAUGCUGCCUUUUCCUUAGGGUCUACCAAAGUCUGCAAGCAGUUUGCACAUCACCAGUCUAUCACGUUAAUGCUGCUCAGACGGAUCGGCUGUACAUCGUGCUUCAGCCAGCUCAGCUCCUCAAAGGGGACAUCAUGGUGGUGUGUUAUGAAAAAAACCUUCAAUCAGCGAGUCGCCAAGUUGUUUUCCGCCUCCAGUUUCACAUGGGCCUGGUGUUCGGACACUCCCUCUCUUUCUGCAAGGCGGACCUUGACUGUGCUGCUGCCGAAGAUUCCCGUUUCCCAGAUGAUGGAAAAGUGGAGCUGCUGUUCUCAGAGAGCCCUGAAAAGAUCGCAGGUAGAGAGCAGUGGUUGAAUGGGCGCUGUGUGGCGGUGGACUAUGACACGAUGGACCCAUUAGUCAGACGAGAUUCUUUCCAGGACUGGGCUCGUUAUGAAAGAAGCCCUCCUCAUGUGUCUGAAUCUGGAAACAGAGAUUUGUACUCCAAAUUGAGGAAGAAGAGCACUGAGGAAGGAGCUCUGUACCCUCUGCCAUCUAUCAGCCCGAGCUGCAGCGACAGAGCGCCGUCAGCCAGCAGUGACUCGGGCCUCUCCGUUGCCUCACAGGGGCAGACCGGAGUCGGACCCAGAAGAGGAGCCACGCAGGACGUUUGUAGCCAGGCUGAGAAGCUGAUUUUUGGCGCUGAGUCAGAACCAAUCCAGGCUCUUCUGGAGGUCAUGACUGAACUGAGUUCUUCUGGUGCUGGAGAUGGAAAGGUGACUGGAAAUGAGUCCGGACUGGGAACCACCAUCAAUGGCGACGUUUCAUCAAGUGAAAGGGAGACGGAUAUUCUUGAUGAUGAGGACGAAGGUUCUCCUUCACAGGCUCCAGACCCGAGCAGUGUUUUCUCACUUCCUUCUGAAAAUGUACCUGCAACUCAGAGACAAGCCCAAACAGAGUACUCCACUCACUCCUGGGUUCGACAGCAGCAGAUGGUGGAUCCCAUCCCUGAACAGGGAACCAGCAAGUCAAAUAAAGAGAGACCAGCACCUCUGGAGCUUCCUGAAACACCAACACGAGGAUUAAGCAGCAGGGAAGCAGUGAAGAGAGGCCUCUUAGACCAGGACAACAGACUGCCUGAAAAUACUACUUCAUCCUGUCAGGAAGAUGAGCUGGCCUCCUUAUCUACAGACAUCGACGAGUCCAUUGAGCAGCUGAACAAGCUGAUUCUGGACUUAGACCCCACUUUUGUUCCGGUUCCCACUCGAUGUUCUCCUCUGUCCCGCUCGGCCUCUCUGCACACCAACGGCCUAAGUCACAAAGGACAAACCCAUCAGUCAGGGUGGAAACAGCAGAAACAUGUCAGCGAUGUGGUUGACUAUGGUGGCCCUCAGAGUCCAGGAUGGAAAAGAGGUGGAGCUCAGAGCUUUAAAGGUUCCCCAGCCAACAACCCCUCCUUCUCAGCCUCCCAGCAUGGUCAUCUCUACAAAACUAACAGUGUGGAUUACCGCGGACAAAUGGACAACUCUGACUUCAUCCCAACGACUCCAGCAUUCCCAGUGUCUCCUCCAACGCCCUAUGUGAAACAUUUCUCUGAGUUUUCCCAAUUCAGUGCUGGCAGACAGUGGGACCAACACAGCUGGACACAAGAACCCAGAGGUUUCCUAGAUGGCAUGAACCACUCUGGUGGUUCCACAGACGGAGAUCUGUUCCGGUCGGACGUGCCUGUCACACAGAGGAUCUUUGGCUCCAUGAGCUCAGUGUCAACUAGCAGCCCCCUCCAAUACACAGACAGCUCCACUCCGCCUCCUGUGUGGCACAAUCGGACACCAAAUUCCUUGAACUCGCCGUAUCCUCCCCAAUCUACACCCCCGCUACUUCUCAGCUCUCCUAAUGCUCACAGUUCCCCGCGGGGCGCUCAGAGGGGCCGGGGAGGGAGCUCAGGGGACCGCAGUGGAACCAACAGCACAGACUUGUCCUCGUUGUUGUUAUUGGGAAACGGCGGCCUGGAGCACAGCCUGCUGGAAGCCGUGGAGGGACUCGGGAAUCUGAAUCUUGGGGGAGAUGCAGGGAUUGCUCCCCUACUGCCGGAGAAGAGAAGAACAGGUGAGGUGGGAGAGCUGGGCUCACGAUCCCCCUCUCUGAGCGGGUUUUCCAGCCCGCGCAGCGGCAGCAGCCUCAGUAUCCCUCUGUCGUCGUCCCUGACCUCAGAUCCGUUCAGAGGACUUAGUGGGGCCUCGUCACCCGGAGCAGACUCUGGCAGUAAGCAGGACACUGUGAAGUUUGUUCAGGACACGUCCAAGUUCUGGUACAAGCCCGACAUUUCCAGAGACCAAGACCUUCUGAUUAGCCAUCACAGUGCUGAAGGACAAAGAGCCCGGUUCGUUCAUCGUCAGAGACAGCCAUUCAUUUCGCGGGGCGUAUGGACUGGCCAUGAAGGUGGCCACGCCUCCUCCCUCAGUGGUACACCACAGUAAAAAAGUGGGAGAUCUGUCCAGCGAGCUAGUGAGGCACUUCCUGAUUGAGUGUACACCUAAAGGAGUUCGUCUUAAAGGCUGCCCCAAUGAGCCAUACUUUGGAAGCCUCACAGCUCUGGUG